ensembl:lncRNA
GAGAAAUGGUGGGGUUUCUCUGCAUUCUCCUCUCUCUGACUGCUUUAUAAGUGGAGGGUUUCAGUGGGGGAGGAUCUUCCAUUGCUUCUCAGUGUGGUUUAAUGCUACCUGGUAAUAGUUUUCAUGGCAGCACAGGGCAGAUCUCUUCCUCACCAUACACUGUCACUGUCAACCAGACCACCUACCAGCCAGGAGACACCAUCCAAGUGACUCUGUCAGGAACCUUCACCUAUAAAGGGUUUCUUCUGGAGGCCCAUUAGGAAGGACAGAACAAGGCUGUGGGAACGUUCUCUCUCGGCAGUGGAACUGGGAUCGUUUUUGUGCCUUGCAAUGGGAUCGCAGCCUCUGGGGUGAGUCAAAGCAACAAUCAACCUAGAUCAUCAGUAACAGUCACCUGGACAGCACCAUC